AGCUGAGUUUGAUCCUGGCUCAGAUUGAACGCUGGCGGCAUGCUUUACACAUGCAAGUCGAACGGUAACAGGUUAAGCUGACGAGUGGCGAACGGGUGAGUAAUGCAUCGGAACGUGCCCGAUCGUGGGGGAUAACGCAGCGAAAGCUGCGCUAAUACCGCAUACGAUCUGAGGAUGAAAGCGGGGGACCUUGUAGCAAUGCGGGGCCUCGCGCGAUCGGAGCGGCCGAUGUCAGAUUAGGUAGUUGGUGGGGGUAAAGGCUCACCGAAGCCGACGAUCUGUAGCUGGUCUGAGAGGACGACCAGCCACGACUGGGACUGAGACACGGCCCAGACUCGUACGGGAGCAGCAGUGGGGGAAUUUGGAC
rnacentral:rRNA from 1 species